rnacentral:rRNA from 1 species
AGGAUAAACGCUGGCGGCGUGCCUAACACAUGCAAGUCGAACGUCCUACGCAAGUAGGGAGUGGCGGACGGGUGAGUAACGCGUGGGAACGUACCUUUUGGUUCGGAACAACACAGGGAAACUUGUGCUAAUACCGGAUAAGCCCUUACGGGGAAAGAUUUAUCGCCGAAAGAUCGGCCCGCGUCUGAUUAGCUAGUUGGUGAGGUAACGGCUCACCAAGGCGACGAUCAGUAGCUGGUCUGAGAGGAUGAUCAGCCACAUUGGGACUGAGACACGGCCCAAACUCCUACGGGAGGCAGCAGUGGGGAAUAUUGGACAAUGGGCGCAAGCCUGAUCCAGCCAUGCCGCGUGAGUGAUGAAGGCCCUAGGGUUGUAAAGCUCUUUUGUGCGGGAAGAUAAUGACGGUACCGCAAGAAUAAGCCCCGGCUAACUUCGUGCCAGCAGCCGC